rnacentral:tRNA from 1 species
GUCGGCGUGGCCGGGGUCAAGGCGGGGGUGGGCUUGAAGCGCCCGCACUUCUCGUUCCGGGUGGUGACCCUGGCCC